GACGAACGCUGGCGGCGGGCUUAACACAUGCAAGUCGAACGGAGUGGCGAACGGGUGAGUAACACGGGGGGGACCUGCCUUGCAGUUCGGGGUAAGCUUGGGAAACUGGGUCUAAUACCGGAUAGUGCAAGAUGAGCUCGAGGCCAAUCAGCUUGUUGGUGGGGUAAUGGGCUACCAGGGCGUCGACGGGUAGCCGGCCUGAGAGGGUGUGCGGCCACAGUAGGACUGAGAUACGGCCCAGACUCGUGCGGGAGGCAGUAGUGGGGAAUAUUGCACCAUGGGCGGAAGCCUGAUGCAGCGACGCCGCGGGGGUGAUGAAGUCCUUCGGGUUGUAAACUCCUUUCGACAGGGACGCGGUACCUGUAUAAGAAGCACCGGCUAACUACGUGCCAGCAGCCGCGGUAAUUC
rnacentral:rRNA from 1 species